rnacentral:rRNA from 1 species
GGUAGCCGGCCUGAGAGGGUGUCCGGCCACACUGGGACUGAGAUACGGCCCAGACUCCUACGGGAGGCAGCAGUGGGGAAUAUUGCACAAUGGGCGCAAGCCUGAUGCAGCGACGCCGCGNGGGGGAUGACGGCCUUCGGGUUGUAAACCUCUUUCAAUAGGGACGAAGCGCAAGUGACGGUACCUAUAGAAGAAGCACCGGCCAACUACGUGCCAGCAGCCGCGGUAAUACGUAGGGUGCGAGCGUUGUCCGGAAUUACUGGGCGUAAAGAGCUCGUAGGUGGUUUGUCGCGUUGUCCGUGAAAUUUCACAACUCAAUUGUGAGCGUGCGGGCGAUACGGGCAGACUGGAGUACUGCAGGGGAGACUGGAAUU